UCCUGUAGUGUCCUCUCUACAGCGUUCUGUUUCCUGUAGUGUCCUCUCUACAGCGUUCAGUUCUGUUUCCUGUAGUGUCCUCUCUACAGCGUUCAGUUCUGUCUCCUCUAUGUCCUCUCUACAGCGUUCUGUCUCCUGUAGUGUCCUCUCUACAGCGUUCUGUCUCCUGUAGUGUCCUCUCUACAGCGUUCAGUCUCCUGUAGUGUCCUCUCUACAGCGUUCUGUCUCCUGUAGUGUCCUCUCUACAGCGUUCUGUCUCCUGUAGUGUCCUCUCUACAGCGUUCUGUCUCCUGUAGUGUCCUCUCUACAGCGUUCUGUCUCCUGUAGUGUCCUCUCUACAGCGUUCUGUCUCCUGUAGUGUCCUCUCUACAGCGUUCUGUUUCCUGUAGUGUCCUCUCUACAGCGUUCUGUUUCCUGUAGUGUCCUCUCUACAGCGUUCAGUUCUGUUUCCUGUAGUGUCCUCUCUACAGCGUUCAGUUCUGUCUCCUCUAUGUCCUCUCUACAGCGUUCUGUCUCCUGCAGUGUCCUCUCUACAGCGUUCUGUCUCCUGUAGUGUCCUCUCUACAGCGUUCUGCCUCCUGUAGUGUCCUCUCUACAGCGUUCUGUCUCCUGUAGUGUCCUCUCUACCUGCGUUCUGUCUCCUGUAGUGUCCUCUCUACAGCGUUCUGUCUCCUGUAGUGUCCUCUAUACAGCGUUCUGUCUCCUGUAGUGUCCUCUCUACAGCGUUCUGUCUCCUGUAGUGUCCUCUCUACAGCGUUCUGUCUC
rnacentral:lncRNA from 1 species